UACGUAGGGGGCAAGCGUUGUCCGGAAUCAUUGGGCGUAAAGCGCGUGUAGGCGGUUCGGUAAGUCUGCUGUGAAAACUCGAGGCUCAACCUCGGGCCUGCAGUGGGUACGGGCAGACUAGAGUGCGGUAGGGGUGACUGGAAUUCCUGGUGUAGCGGUGGAAUGCGCAGAUAUCAGGAAGAACACCCGUGGCGAAAGCGGCUCUCUGGAACGGUACUGACGCUGAGACGCGAAAGCGUGGGGAGCGAACAGG
rnacentral:rRNA from 1 species